rnacentral:rRNA from 1 species
CAUGCAAGUCGAACGAGACCUUCGGGUCUAGUGGCGCACGGGUGCGUAACGCGUGGGAACCUGCCUUUAGGUUCGGAAUAACUCCCCGAAAGGGGUGCUAAUACCGGAUAAUGUCUUCGGACCAAAGAUUUAUCGCCUUUAGAUGGGCCCGCGUUGGAUUAGCUAGUUGGUGGGGUAAAGGCUCACCAAGGCGACGAUCCAUAGCUGGUCUGAGAGGAUGAUCAGCCACACUGGGACUGAGACACGGCCCAGACUCCUACGGGAGGCAGCAGUGGGGAAUAUUGGACAAUGGGCGAAAGCCUGAUCCAGCAAUGCCGCGUGAGUGAUGAAGGCCUUAGGGUUGUAAAGCUCUUUUACCAGGGAUGAUAAUGACAGUACCUGGAGAAUAAGCUCCGGCUAACUCCGUGCCAGCAGCCGCGGUAAUACGGAGGGAGCUAGCGUUGUUCGGAAUUACUGGGCGUAAAGCGCGCGUAGGCGGCUUAUCAAGUCAGGGGUGAAAUCCCGGGGCUCAACCCCGGAACUGCCCUUGAAA